AAUAGGGGAAUGACAAAUCAGAUUUUUCCUCUUGAUUUUCAGCUUUUUCCUCUUGAAAAAAAUUCAAAUUCAAUUAAAAUGCUAAAAAUUAGAAGGAAAAAUCUUAUUUUUCAUUCCCCUAUU
rfam:Gossypium hirsutum cultivar TM-1 chromosome 7, whole genome shotgun sequence